UACGGAGGGUGCAAGCAUUGAUCGGAAUUACUGGGCGUAAAGCGUGCGCAGGCGGUUUGUUAAGUCCGCUGUGAAAUCCCCGAGCUCAACUUGGGAAUUGCAGUGGAUACUGGCAAGCUGGAGUAUGGUAGAGGAAGGUGGAAUUCCCGGUGUAGCAGUGAAAUGCGUAGAGAUCGGGAGGAACACCAGUGGCGAAGGCGGCCUUCUGGACCAAUACUGACGCUCAUGCACGAAAGCGUGGGGAGCAAACAGG
rnacentral:rRNA from 1 species